rnacentral:rRNA from 1 species
GACGAACGCUGGCGGCGUGCUUAACACAUGCAAGUCGAACGGAAAGACCCUGCUUUUGUGGGGUGCUCGAGUGGCGAACGGGUGAGUAACACGUGAGUAACCUGCCCUUGACUUUGGGAUAACUUCAGGAAACUGGGGCUAAUACCGGAUAGGAGCUCCUGCUGCAUGGUGGGGGUUGGAAAGUUUCGGCGGUUGGGGAUGGACUCGCGGCUUAUCAGCUUGUUGGUGGGGUAGUGGCUUACCAAGGCUUUGACGGGUAGCCGGCCUGAGAGGGUGACCGGCCACAUUGGGACUGAGAUACGGCCCAGACUCCUACGGGAGGCAGCAGUGGGGAAUAUUGCACAAUGGGCGGAAGCCUGAUGCAGCAACGCCGCGUGCGGGAUGACGGCCUUCGGGUUGUAAACCGCCUUCGCCUGUGACGAAGCGUGAGUGACGGUAAUGGGUAAAGAAGCACCGGCUAACUACGUG